CCUAUCGCCAAUUCCCUUGAGUUGAUCAUGGCUCAGAAUGAACGCUGGCGGCGUGCUUAACACAUGCAAGUCGAGCGAGACCAGGGGGGCAACUCCCUGAGUCGAGCGGCGGACGGGUGAGUAACACGUGGGUAACCUACCCGGAAGUGGGGAAUACCUCGGGGAAACUCGAGCUAAUACCGCAUGACAUCUUCGGGACGAAAGUCCUGACGAUCAAAGCGGGGUCGCAAGACCUCGCGCUACCGGAUGGGCCCGCGCCCGAUUAGCUAGUUGGUGGGGUAACGGCUCACCAAGGCAACGAUCGGUAACCGGCCUGAGAGGGCGAUCGGUCACACCGGAACUGAGACACGGUCCGGACUCCUACGGGAGGCAGCAGUGGGGAAUCUUGCGCAAUGGGCGAAAGCCUGACGCAGCAACGCCGCGUGGAGGAUGAAGGCCCUUGGGUUGUAAACUCCUGUCGGCUGGGAAGAAAUCGUUCGCGGCUAACACCCGCGGACGUUGACUGUACCAGCAAAGGAAGCCCCGGCUAACUCUGUGCCAGCAGCCGCGGUAAUACAGAGGUGGCCAGCGUUAUUCGGAAUUAUUGGGCGUAAAGGGCGCGUAGGCGGCCAUGCGUGUCUUCCGUGAAAUCCCUCGGCUCAACCGAGGACGUGCGGAAGAAACUGCAAGGCUCGAGUCCGGAAGAGGGGGGCGGAAUUCCCAGUGUAGCGGUGAAAUGCGUAGAUAUUGGGAGGACACCGGUGGCGAAAGCGGUCCCCUGGGCCGUACUGACGCUGAGC
rnacentral:rRNA from 1 species